GUUCUUCUUCAGAAGCCAUGCCAGUGAAGUGAGCAGUACAAGUACUAAAACUGGAAUGAUACAGUGAAGAUAAGCAUGGUCCAUGCACAAGAAUUAUGUACAAAUUCUUCAAGUGUUCUAUAAUUUU
ensembl:snRNA U6 U6 spliceosomal RNA